rnacentral:rRNA from 1 species
AUUGAACGCUGGCGGCAGGCUUAACACAUGCAAGUCGAGCGGUAACAGAGAGAAGCUUGCUUCUCUGCUGACGAGCGGCGGACGGGUGAGUAAUGCCUAGGAAUCUGCCUAGUAGUGGGGGAUAACUUGCCGAAAGGUAAGCUAAUACCGCAUACGUCCUACGGGAGAAAGGAGGGGACCUUCGGGCCUUUCGCUAUUAGAUGAGCCUAGGUCGGAUUAGUUAGUUGGUGAGGUAAUGGCUCACCAAGACCGCGAUCCGUAACUGGUCUGAGAGGAUGAUCAGGCACACGGGAACUGAGACACGGUCCAGACCCCUAGGGGGGGCAGCAGGGGGGAAUUUGGGAAAAUGGGGGGAACCCUGACCCAGCCAUGCCGGGGGGGUGAAGAAGGUCUGAGGAUUGUAAAGCACUUUAAGGUGGGAGGAAGAGCAGUUAACUAAUAUUUGACUGUUUUGGCGUUACCGACAAAAUAAGCACCGGCUAACUUCGG